AGUAAAUAAUUUUAUUUAACUCAUAUAAUCUAAAGAAUAGGGCUUUAGAAGUUUCUACCAUGUUGCCAUAAACAACAUGACUAUGAGUAGCAAUUCAAUACAU
rnacentral:ncRNA from 2 species